rnacentral:rRNA from 1 species
CCUACGGGUGACAGCAGUGAGGAAUAUUGGGCAAUGGACGCAAGUCUGACCCAGCAAUGCCGCGUGCAGGAAGACGGCUCUAUGAGUUGUAAACUGCUUUUGUACGAGGGUAAACGCAGAUACGCGUAUCUGUCUGAAAGUAUCGGACGCAUAAGAAUCGGCGAACUCCGUGCCAGCAGCCGCGGUAAUACGGAGGAUUCAAGCGUUAUCCGGAUUUAUAGGGGUGAAAGGGUGCGUAGGCGGGCGGAUAAGUUAGAGGUGAAAUCCCGAGGCUCAACUUCGGAAUUGCCUCUGAUACUGUUCGGCUAGAGAGUAGUUGCGGUAGGCGGAAUGUAUGGUGUAGCGGUGAAAUGCUUAGAGAUCAGACAGAACACCGAUUGCGAAGGCAGCUUACCAAGCUACUUCUGACGUUGAGGCACGAAAGCGUGGGGAGCAAACAGGAUUAGAUACCCCUGUAGUC